UUAGAGUUUGAUCCUGGCUCAAGAUGAACCCUUUCUACAGGCUUAACACAUGCAAGUCGAGGGCCAGCAUGGUCUUAUCUUGCUAAGGCUGAUGGCGACCGGCGCACGGGUGAGUAACACGUAUCCAACCUGCCGUCUACUCUUGGCCAGCCUUCUGAAAGGAAGAUUAAUCCAGGAUGGGAUCAUGAGUUCACAUGUCCGCAUGAUUAAAGGUAUUUUCCGGUAGACGAUGGGGGAUGCGUUCCAUUAGAUAGUAGGCGGGGUAACGGCCCACCUAGUCAACGAUGGAUAGGGGUUCUGAGAGGAAGGUCCCCCACAUUGGAACUGAGACACGGUCCAAACUCCUACGGGAGGCAGCAGUGAGGAAUAUUGGUCAAUGGGCGAUGGCCUGAACCAGCCAAGUAGCGUGAAGGAUGACUGCCCUAUGGGUUGUAAACUUCUUUUAUAAAGGAAUAAAGUCGGGUAUGCAUACCCGUUUGCAUGUACUUUAUGAAUAAGGAUCGGCUAACUCCGUGCCAGCAGCCGCGGUAAUACGGAGGAUCCGAGCGUUAUCCGGAUUUAUUGGGUUUAAAGGGAGCGUAGAUGGAUGUUUAAGUCAGUUGUGAAAGUUUGCGGCUCAACCGUAAAAUUGCAGUUGAUACUGGAUGUCUUGAGUGCAGUUGAGGCAGGCGGAAUUCGUGGUGUAGCGGUGAAAUGCUUAGAUAUCACGAAGAACUCCGAUUGCGAAGGCAGCCUGCUAAGCUGCAACUGACAUUGAGGCUCGAAAGUGUGGGUAUCAAACAGGAUUAGAUACCCUGGUAGUCCACACGGUAAACG
rnacentral:rRNA from 1 species